GAUGAACGCUGGCGGCGUGCCUAAUACAUGCAAGUCGAGCGAACAGACGAGGAGCUUGCUCCUCUGACGUUAGCGGCGGACGGGUGAGUAACACGUGGAUAACCUACCUAUAAGACUGGGAUAACUUCGGGAAACCGGAGCUAAUACCGGAUAAUAUAUUGAACCGCAUGGUUCAAUAGUGAAAGACGGUUUUGCUGUCACUUAUAGAUGGAUCCGCGCCGCAUUAGCUAGUUGGUAAGGUAACGGCUUACCAAGGCAACGAUGCGUAGCCGACCUGAGAGGGUGAUCGGCCACACUGGAACUGAGACACGGUCCAGACUCCUACGGGAGGCAGCAGUAGGGAAUCUUCCGCAAUGGGCGAAAGCCUGACGGAGCAACGCCGCGUGAGUGAUGAAGGUCUUCGGAUCGUAAAACUCUGUUAUUAGGGAAGAACAAAUGUGUAAGUAACUAUGCACGUCUUGACGGUACCUAAUCAGAAAGCCUCGGCUAACUACGU
rnacentral:rRNA from 1 species